rnacentral:rRNA from 1 species
AAGACCUUGUGCUUUUGGAGCGGCCGAUGCCUGAUUAGCUAGUUGGUAAGGUAAAGGCUUACCAAGGCUUCGAUCAGUAGUUGGUCUGAGAGGACGACCAGCCACACUGGGACUGAGACACGGCCCAGACUCCUACGGGAGGCAGCAGUGGGGAAUUUUGGACAAUGGGGGAAACCCUGAUCCAGCCAUGCCGCGUGAGUGAAGAAGGCCUUCGGGUUGUAAAGCUCUUUCAGCCGGAACGAAACGGUUACGGUUAAUACCCAUGACUACUGACGGUACCGGAAGAAGAAGCACCGGCUAACUACGUGCCAGCAGCCGCGGUAAUACGUAGGGUGCGAGCGUUAAUCGGAAUUACUGGGCGUAAAGGGUGCGCAGGCGGUUUUGUAAGUCAGAUGUGAAAUCCCCGGGCUUAACCUGGGAACU